rnacentral:rRNA from 1 species
UACGUAGGGGGCAAGCGUUGUCCGGAUUUAUUGGGCGUAAAGCGCACGUAGGCGGCUUUCUAAGUCAGGGGUGAAAUCCUGGAGCUCAACUCCAGAACUGCCUUUGAUACUGGAGAGCUUGAGUCCGGAAGAGGUGAGUGGAACUCCGAGUGUAGAGGUGAAAUUCGUAGAUAUUCGGAAGAACAUCAGUGGCGAAGGCGGCCAACUGGUCCACUACUGACGCUGAGGUGCGAAAGCGUGGGGAGCAAACAGG